rnacentral:rRNA from 1 species
GAUGAACGCUGGCGGCGUGCCUAAUACAUGCAAGUCGAACGAAGAUGUUCUUGUGUUCGCACGAGAGCUCUUAGUGGCGGACGGGUGAGUAACGCGUUGGUGACCUGCCCUAAAGAAGGGAACAACCUCGGGAAACUGAGGCUAAUACCCUAUAUGCUUCUAAAGAUUAGAUGCUUUUGAAGUAAAGGUUCUGUGGACGAAAGGCCACAGUGCCGCUUUAGGAGGGGCCUGCGUCCCAUCAGCUAGUUGGUAGGGUAAUGGCCUACCAAGGCAAUGACGGGUAGGGGACCUGAGAGGGUGACCCCCCACACUAGCACUGAAACACGGGCUAGACACCUACGGGUGGCAGCAGUAGGGAAUAUUGCACAAUCGACGAAAGUCUGAUGCAGCAACGCCGCGUGUGUGAUGAAGGCCUUCGGGUUGUAAA